UGGUUCCAACUACAAGGACUUGUGUUAUAUUAUGGUAAGUUUCCAAUCUGAAAUGGUUUAGUAAAUUUUUUGAAAAAUUUUGUUUUAUAAUACAUUGUUACUUUAAUUUUAGCGGUCAUUAUUGGCGGAGUUUCUAACCAACAACAGUGAACCUUUAAGUUCGGCAUCUGUUUCAAAAUCGACUGUAGAAGUUGUGGACCUUAAUUUGUCAUCCAACGUCGAUUCAAAGGAUGUUGGGUUGUAUGUGAUGAGGCAUAUGGAGACUUUCGAAGGAGAUACAUCUGAGAAUUGGAGUACUGGAUUAAUUAAUGCAUCAGAACAUCAACUGAGAUUGCUGAGGGUGAGAUAUUGUGCAACGAUUGUAUCGUGGGAGAAUAACAAGUAUAAAGAUGAUAUUUUGCGUGAGUCAUCUGCAACAUAUGAGGCCGAAUUUGCAGAGAAUGCAACAAAAUUUGAUGGAGUUUUUAUAGGGUGAUAAUAAAUUAUAACAUCUACGAG
rnacentral:lncRNA from 1 species